UACGAGGGGGGCAAGCGUUGUUCGGAAUUAUUGGGCGUAAAGGGUGCGUAGGCUGUGCGGUAAGUCACCUGUGAAAACUCUGGGCUCAACCCAGAGCCUGCAGGCGAAACUGCCGUGCUGGAGUAUGGGAGAGGUGCGUGGAAUUCCCGGUGUAGCGGUGAAAUGCGUAGAUAUCUGGAGGAACACCGGUGGCGAAGGCGGCGACCUGGGACAAUGCUGACGCUGAGGUGCGAAAGCGUGGGGAGCAAACAGG
rnacentral:rRNA from 1 species